AUUGAACGCUGGCGGAAUGCUUUACACAUGCAAGUCGAGCGGCAGCACGGGGGCAACCCUGGUGGCGAGCGGCGAACGGGUGAGUAAUACAUCGGAACAUGCCAGUCGUGGGGGAUAACACUUCGAAAGAAGUGCUAAUACCGCAUACGUCCUGAGGGAGAAAGCGGGGGAUCUUCGGACCUCGCGCGAUUGGAGUGGCCGAUGUCAGAUUAGCUAGUUGGUGGGGUAAAGGCCUACCAAGGCAACGAUCUGUAGCUGGUCUGAGAGGAUGAUCAGCCACACUGGGACGGCGACACGGCCCAGACUCCUACGGGAGGCAGCAGUGGGGAAUUUUGGACAAUGGGGGCAACCCUGAUCCAGCCAUUCCGCGUGAGUGAAGAAGGCCUUCGGGUUGUAAAGCUCUUUCGGCAGGAACGAAACGGCGAGCUCUAACAUAGCUUGCUAAUGACGGUACCUGAAGAAGAAGCACCGGCUAACUACGUGCCAGCAGCCGCCGUAACAC
rnacentral:rRNA from 1 species